UACGUAGGUGGCAAGCGUUGUCCGGAUUUACUGGGCGUAAAGGGCGUGCAGGCGGUUUGUUAAGUGCAGGGUGAAAGCUCCCGGCUCAACUGGGAGAGGUCCUUGCAUACUGGCGAACUCGAGGGAGGCAGAGGAAAGUGGAAUUCCCGGUGUAGUGGUGAUAUGCGUAGAUAUCGGGAGGAACACCUGUGGCGAAGGCGGCCGACUGGGCCGACCCUGACGCUGAGGCGCGAAGGCGUGGGGAGCGAACGGG
rnacentral:rRNA from 1 species